AUCUGAAGUGUGAAUAGGAUUGGUGAAAGAGUGAAAGAGUGUUGUGUGCUUUUGCUGAGUUUAGGAUGGUGUCAAUUGUGCCUCAGGAGAAGAGUUUAGACAUUCUGUCCUGAUGAAUGUAAUCAAGUCUUUAUUUCAUGGUUUCUCUUAACGCAAAUACGUACAGGUUCAUAUUCGUCGAUGAGGGUGAGAGGAAAACUAUCGCCAACAGAAAGAAUCCAGAUAGGAAGAGAGAAAAAGAAAGACCAGAGAUGGAUUUUGUGUCCUUUUUAAAACAGCCUCAAUCACCUGAUUCCUCCCUGCCACUUCUCUGCAAAUGAUAGAGUUCACACAUCUAUAAUUCUCUCAUAGGUUCAUGUGGGCUGCUCCUCAUAACCCUGCUCAAACACUACUGAGGCAUCAGGAUCUUCAAGAUUCAUCUCUCUUUGGUGACUUCCUGAAGCUUGAAGUAUCUUCCUUGGGAGACGUAUUAUAGAAUUUGAAAUCCCACUGGCCAGAUCUCAGCAUGUAGUUUCAUCCCAACUCUACAGAAGUCUGGAAAAUACAGAGAGAACAUGCUCUUUCCCUAGGAAGAAGAGAUGAGAGCUCCAUCUCUCUGCUGGUGGAAGGAGAGGUUGUCUUUCCCUUCCCAUAGGGCAAGAAGAGCUGCCUCCACAUCCUCCUUCUGCUGUAGCUGAAGAGCCUGUUUAAAGGAACAUCCUGAUGGGGCUCAGCCUUUUGACCCCCAGAAAACAUGGCUUUGUCUGCCAUCCUGCAGCUCAUCAUGGGAGCCUGCAAAGUGGUUGGGGGCAGCACACACCAGCAUGCUGUGAAGAGAGGAAAGAGCUGCCGGGAUAACAACCCCGCAGCCACCAUAAUGACUCAGAUUAGAACACAAGGGAACACCAGCCAUUUUUUAGUCUGUCAGUUUUUCUAUUAUCCUCAAGACUGAGCAUGAAACAUUCAUUAUAACACGUCCUUAUUGAUUCAACUGAUGGAAAUAUAUUGGUAUUAAUAACACGAAACUCUAAGGCACUGAGGAUAAUAAAAUGAUUGCGAACAUAA
rnacentral:lncRNA from 1 species